rnacentral:rRNA from 1 species
GCGUGAGCGAAGAAGGCYUUCGGGUUGUAAAGCUCUUUCACAAGUAAAGAAACGGUAUAGGUUAAUAGCCUAUGCUAAUGACGGUAACUUGAGAAGAAGCACCGGCUAACUACGUGCCAGCAGCCGCGGUAAUACGUAGGGUGCGAGCGUUAAUCGGAAUUACUGGGCGUAAAGCGUGCGCAGGCUGUUUGGCAAGUCAAAUGUGAAAUCCCCGAGCUCAACUUGGGAACUGCGUUUGAAACUGCCAGACUAGAAUAUGUCAGAGGGGGGUAGAAUUCCACGUGUAGCAGUGAAAUGCGUAGAGAUGUGGAGGAAUACCGAUGGCGAAGGCAGCCCCCUGGGAUAAUAUUGACGCUCAUGCACGAAAGCGUGGGGGAGCGAACAGGAUUAGAUACCCUGGUAGUCCACGCCCUAAACGAUGUCU